GACGAACGCUGCCGGCGUGCUUUAACACAUGCAAGUCGAACGAAAAGACGGAAAGAGCUUGCUCUUUUCAGAAUUGAGUGGCAAACGGGUGAGUAACACGUAAACAACCUGCCUUCAGGAUGGGGACAACAGACGGAAACGACUGCUAAUACCGAAUAAGUUCCAAGAGCCGCAUGGCCCAUGGAAGAAAAGGUGGCCUCUACCUGUAAGCUAUCGCCUGAAGAGGGGUUUGCGUCUGAUUAGCUGGUUGGAGGGGUAACGGCCCACCAAGGCGACGAUCAGUAGCCGGUCUGAGAGGAUGAACGGCCACACUGGAACUGAGACACGGUCCAGACUCCUACGGGAGGCAGCAGUGGGGAAUCUUCCGCAAUGGGCGAAAGCCUGACGGAGCAACGCCGCGUGAGUGAUGACGGCCUUCGGGUUGUAAAACUCUGUGAUCCGGGACGAAAAGGCAGAGUGCGAAGAACAAACUGCAUUGACGGUACCGGAAAAGCAAGCCACGGCUAA
rnacentral:rRNA from 1 species